UACGGAGGGUGCAAGCGUUGUCCGGAAUCACUGGGCGUAAAGGGCGCGUAGGCGGCUCAUGAAGGCUGUGGUGAAAGUCCGGGGCUCAACCUCGGAUCGGCCGUGGCGACUCGUGGGCUGGAGCACUGUAGAGGCGGGUGGAAUUCCGGGUGUAGCGGUGGAAUGCGUAGAGAUUCGGGAGAACACCAGUGGCGAAGGCGGCCCGCUGGGCAGUGGCUGACGCUGAGGCGCGAAAGCGUGGGGAGCAAACAGG
rnacentral:rRNA from 1 species